UAGGGAAUCUUCCACAAUGAACGAAAGUCUGAUGGAGCAACGCCGCGUGAGUGAAGAAGGGUUUCGGCUCGUAAAACUCUGUUGUUAAAGAAGAACAUAUCUGAGAGUAACUGUUCAGGUAUUGACGGUAUUUAACCAGAAAGCCACGGCUAACUACGUGCCAC
rnacentral:rRNA from 1 species